rnacentral:pre_miRNA from 1 species
UUAACCCAUUUAACGACUCAACCCAUCAAAUUAAAUGAGUUAUGGGUUGACUCAACCCAUUUAGCAAAAUGAGUUGGGUCAACCCAUAACUCAUUUAAUUCUAAACUCAUUUGAUUAUGAGU